GACCUGAUAGCACAAUGUCAGUGCAUCUGCAUUUAGUUGGAUUGUGCAGUCAAUAUUUAUGCAGAAGAUCCCCGUUCGACUCGGGGUCAGGUCA